rnacentral:rRNA from 1 species
GACGAACGCUGGCGGCGUGCUUAACACAUGCAAGUCGAACGAAGUGGCGAACGGGUGAGUAACGCGUAAUCAACCUGCCCUUCAGAGGGGGACAACAGUUGGAAACGACUGCUAAUACCGCAUACUGAAGGAGGGGAUUGCGUCUGCUUAGCUAGUUGGAGGGGUAACGGCCCACCAAGGCGAUGAUCAGUAGCCGGGCUGGGAGGAUGAACGGCCACAUUGGGACUGAGACACGGGCCAGACUCCGACGGGAGGCAGCAGGGGGGAAUCUUCCGAAAUGGAAGAAAGUCUGACGGAGCAACGCCGCGGGAGUGAUGACGGCCUUCGGGUGGUAAAGCUCUGUUAAUCGGGACGCGGUACCGGAAGAGAAAGCCACGGCUAACUACGUGCCAGCCGCCGCGGUAAUUC